AACGAACGCUGGCGGCAUGCCUAACACAUGCAAGUCGAACGAGACCUUCGGGUCUAGUGGCGCACGGGUGCGUAACGCGUGGGAACCUGCCCUUAGGUUCGGAAUAACUCCCCGAAAGGGGUGCUAAUACCGGAUAAUGUCUUCGGACCAAAGAUUUAUCGCCUUUGGAUGGGCCCGCGUUGGAUUAGCUAGUUGGUAGGGUAAAAGCCUACCAAGGCGACGAUCCAUAGCUGGUCUGAGAGGAUGAUCAGCCACACUGGGACUGAGACACGGCCCAGACUCCUACGGGAGGCAGCAGUGGGGAAUAUUGGACAAUGGGCGAAAGCCGGAUCCAGCAAUGCCGCGGGAGUGAUGAAGGCCUUAGGGUGGUAAAGCUCUUUUACCCGGGAUGAUAAUGACAGUACCGGGAGAAUAAGCUCCGGCGAACUCCGG
rnacentral:rRNA from 1 species